UGAAUAUAAGUUUUUUAAAUUUAUAAUUAAGUCCCUCAAGUACGUAUAAAUUAAGAGCAACAAGGACUCCACAAUUUCAGACCCAGAAAAAAAAAAGACAGUGGAAUCUCUGCAACUUUCAGCUCUCCAUUUCUUCUUCCUUUUUUUCCGGUUCAAAAUCGUAAAUUUGUCUCUCCUUCAAUAGAUUUAAGUGUUUCCCUUCUUCAAUAGAUUUAAGUGUUUCCCUUUCUUUGGGGGGGAUUUUUAGUUGUAAUGGACGAAGGGGAGCUCGAUUUUUCGAACCAAGAAGUGUUUUCUGGUGGCAAUAACAUGGGUGAUAUUCCAAGCAGUUGCUCGAUGGACAGUUUUUUCAAUGAAAUACUCAAUGAUUCUCAUGCAUGUACGCAUACACACACUUGCAACCCACCUGGCCCUGAUAAUUCUCAUACACACACGUGUUUCCAUGUUCAUACCAAAAUCGUGCCUGCCUCAACUGAAGAUGAAGCUGCUGCUGAUGACACAGAGGGCUCUAGGGAGAAGAAACCAAAGAAACGCUCUUUGGGUAAUCGAGAAGCUGUUAGGAAGUAUAGGCAAAAGGUUAAGGCACGAGCAGCCUCGUUGGAAGACGAGGUUGUGAGGUUGAGGACAUUGAACCAGCAGCUGUUGAAGAGAUUGCAAGGGCAAGCUGCAUUGGAGGCUGAGAUUGCACGGCUUAAGUGUUUGCUUGUGGAUGUUCGAGGAAGAAUUGAAGGGGAGAUUGGUUCGUUUCCCUAUCAGAAACCAACAGCUAAUAAUGUUAACACCUUGAAUUUGCCUGGUGCUUAUUUGAUGAAUCCCUGCAAUAUACAAUGCAAUGAUCAGAUGUAUUGCCUUCAACCCGAGGUCGAAGGUAAUACAGGAGAAGCCACAGCGCUGGACGGACAUGGAUUUAAUGGGUGUGAAUUUGAUGAUAUUCAAUGCUUGGCAAGUCAAAACUCUGGAGCAAAGGAGCUUCCUAGAGGUGGGGUUGGAAUUGCAGCGGCCAAUGGCAAUUCUUCUGGCACAAAAAGGAGAAAAGGUGUUCGUCCAGCUACAGCAGGUUAAAGAACUGUUGAGGCGAGCAUUAUCCAUAUUCUAUGGGGUACAUAUUUGUCUUCCAACAAGCAAGUUUCUUUCGGAUCCAUCACGCUCCCUCAGAAUUUAAGGUGGAAUAUCUAUGAUGUUUCAAAUACUGUGAGGUGUGAGCCCCCAUAGCAGGAAGGCCGGAGAUGCCUGCUCAAAGAGGGUAAGUGCCAUCUUUUAACCGAGGUUUUGAUCAAUGAAUGUCUGAUGAAAACUCGUAGUUGUAGAACGGUGAGGGAGUCGUUGAAGGUUACGGUUUUUUCCUGUAACUGCUAACUGUGCCUAACUAUAGCCGCCUUCGAGCUUGUUAGUUGCCACAAAUGUGGCUUUCAAAUUGGAAAAAAAGAUGGUUGAACUGUUUAGUUAGCAGAGAUAAAAUGAGUACUUGAUCUUGAAUUUCCUUUUAGAUGUGUCUUGUUCAUUGCAAUCUGGUACAAGUCCUUUUGUUUUGUUAAAAAGGGAUUUUUUUUAUUUUUAUUUUUUGUUAUGAGUUAAUUACUCACCCAACAAUUCAAUUCUAUCUGUAUUUCCAUUUUUACAUUAACCAAUUCAUGAUAAAAAAAUUAAAAUUGAUUAGUUGAUAGAUUACUUUAUAAUUUUUCAGUUAAUAACUGAGUGACAAAAAAAAUUACUGAUAGUUAAAAAUUAUUUUGCAACUUUUCAUUUUUGGUAAAUAAAAAAGGAGAAAUAAACCAUAAUCGAAUGACAACUAAUAUAACUUAACCUUUUAUAUAUCCGCAAUAAUACAUGUUAAAUUUAAGUUAGGUUCGGCGAUAAAACUCAAUUAAGUUGAAACCAAACUUCAGUGUCAUAAGUUUUACAUCAAAUUUAGUUCAACAGCAGGCACAAGGUUUGAAUAUUAAAUUACAUGUUAAAAGACUCCUAAAGCUGUCCACAUACAAAACAUUAUUAUAAACUCACAAUGAUCUUACUUAAAAAGGUCAUAUCCUUAAAACUCUAAAUCCAACUUCUAUGGACUAUGGAUGGUCUUCGGCAGUUUGAGUGUCAUCCUCGUCUCGAUAUAUACUCUCUGCCAAUUGCCACACUUGAAGUGUGUUGUCUUCAGCUACACUAGAAAUCACCCAUGGCUCAUUUUUGUUCCACGAGAAAUCUGAAAUCUUA